UACCCGCGGUCCAAGUCGCAGCCACUUUUAUUGGGUCUAAAACAUCCGUAGCUUGCUUUGUAAGUUCCUUGUGAAAUCCUAUGUCUCAAGCAUAGGGCGAGCAAGGAGUACUGCUUAGCUAGAGACUGGAAGACGUAAAGAGUAUGUCCGAUGUAGCGGUAAAAUGUUUUAAUCUCGGACAGACUAACAACAGCGAAGGCACUUUACGAGGACAGUUCUGACAGUGAGGGAUGAAGGCUAGGGGCGCAAAAGG
rnacentral:rRNA from 1 species